UUAAGCGACUAAGCGUACACGGUGGAUGCCCUGGCAGUCAGAGGCGAUGAAGGACGUGCUAAUCUGCGAAAAGCGCCGGCGAGGUGAUAUGAACCUUUGACCCGGCGAUGUCCGAAUGGGGAAACCCAGUGCAAUUCGUUGCACUAUCGUUAACUGAAUACAUAGGUUAACGAGGCGAACCGGGGGAACUGAAACAUCUAAGUACCCCGAGGAAAAGAAAUCAACCGAGAUUCCCCCAGUAGCGGCGAGCGAACGGGGAGCAGCCCAGAGUCUGAAUCAGCUUGUGUGUUAGUGGAAGCGUCUGGAAAGUCGCACGGUACAGGGUGACAGUCCCGUACACGAAAGCACACAGGCUGUGAACUCGAAGAGUAGGGCGGGACACGUGGUAUCCUGUCUGAAUAUGGGGGGACCAUCCUCCAAGGCUAAAUACUCCUGACUGACCGAUAGUGAACCAGUACCGUGAGGGAAAGGCGAAAAGAACCCCGGCGAGGGGAGUGAAAAAGAACCUGAAACCGUGUACGUACAAGCAGUGGGAGCACCUUCGUGGUGUGACUGCGUACCUUUUGUAUAAUGGGUCAGCGACUUAUAUUCUGUAGCAAGGUUAACCGUAUAGGGGAGCCGAAGGGAAACCGAGUCUUAACUGGGCGUUAAGUUGCAGGGUAUAGACCCGAAACCCGGUGAUCUAGCCAUGGGCAGGUUGAAGGUUGGGUAACACUAACUGGAGGACCGAACCGACUAAUGUUGAAAAAUUAGCGGAUGACUUGUGGCUGGGGGUGAAAGGCCAAUCAAACCGGGAGAUAGCUGGUUCUCCCCGAAAGCUAUUUAGGUAGCGCCUCGUGAACUCAUCUUCGGGGGUAGAGCACUGUUUCGGCUAGGGGGCCAUCCCGGCUUACCAACCCGAUGCAAACUACGAAUACCGAAGAAUGUUAUCACGGGAGACACACGGCGGGUGCUAACGUCCGUCGUGAAGAGGGAAACAACCCAGACCGCCAGCUAAGGUCCCAAAGUCAUGGUUAAGUGGGAAACGAUGUGGGAAGGCACAGACAGCCAGGAUGUUGGCUUAGAAGCAGCCAUCAUUUAAAGAAAGCGUAAUAGCUCACUGGUCGAGUCGGCCUGCGCGGAAGAUGUAACGGGGCUAAACCAUGCACCGAAGCUGCGGCAGCGACGCGUAUGCGUUGUUGGGUAGGGGAGCGUUCUGUAAGCCGUUGAAGGUGUGCUGUGAGGCAUGCUGGAGGUAUCAGAAGUGCGAAUGCUGACAUAAGUAACGAUAAAGCGGGUGAAAAGCCCGCUCGCCGGAAGACCAAGGGUUCCUGUCCAACGUUAAUCGGGGCAGGGUGAGUCGACCCCUAAGGCGAGGCCGAAAGGCGUAGUCGAUGGGAAACAGGUUAAUAUUCCUGUACUUGGUGUUACUGCGAAGGGGGGACGGAGAAGGCUAUGUUAGCCGGGCGACGGUUGUCCCGGUUUAAGCAUGUAGGCGGAGGUUCCAGGUAAAUCCGGUACCUUUUAACGCUGAGGUGUGAUGACGAGGCACUACGGUGCUGAAGUAACAAAUGCCCUGCUUCCAGGAAAAGCCUCUAAGCAUCAGGUAACACGAAAUCGUACCCCAAACCGACACAGGUGGUCAGGUAGAGAAUACCAAGGCGCUUGAGAGAACUCGGGUGAAGGAACUAGGCAAAAUGGUGCCGUAACUUCGGGAGAAGGCACGCUGAUAUGUAGGUGAAGCCCCUGCGGGUGGAGCUGAAAUCAGUCGAAGAUACCAGCUGGCUGCAACUGUUUAUUAAAAACACAGCACUGUGCAAACACGAAAGUGGACGUAUACGGUGUGACGCCUGCCCGGUGCCGGAAGGUUAAUUGAUGGGGUUAGCGGCAACGCGAAGCUCUUGAUCGAAGCCCCGGUAAACGGCGGCCGUAACUAUAACGGUCCUAAGGUAGCGAAAUUCCUUGUCGGGUAAGUUCCGACCUGCACGAAUGGCGUAAUGAUGGCCAGGCUGUCUCCACCCGAGACUCAGUGAAAUUGAACUCGCUGUGAAGAUGCAGUGUACCCGCGGCAAGACGGAAAGACCCCGUGAACCUUUACUAUAGCUUGACACUGAACACUGGUCCUUGAUGUGUAGGAUAGGUGGGAGGCUUUGAAGCGUGGACGCCAGUCUGCGUGGAGCCGUCCUUGAAAUACCACCCUUUAAUGGCUGGUGUUCUAACGUAGACCCGUGAUCCGGGUUGCGGACAGUGUCUGGUGGGUAGUUUGACUGGGGCGGUCUCCUCCCAAAGAGUAACGGAGGAGCACGAAGGUUAGCUAAUCCUGGUCGGACAUCAGGAGGUUAGUGCAAUGGCAUAAGCUAGCUUGACUGCGAGAGUGACGGCUCGAGCAGGUGCGAAAGCAGGUCAUAGUGAUCCGGUGGUUCUGAAUGGAAGGGCCAUCGCUCAACGGAUAAAAGGUACUCCGGGGAUAACAGGCUGAUACCGCCCAAGAGUUCAUAUCGACGGCGGUGUUUGGCACCUCGAUGUCGGCUCAUCACAUCCUGGGGCUGAAGUAGGUCCCAAGGGUAUGGCUGUUCGCCAUUUAAAGUGGUACGCGAGCUGGGUUUAGAACGUCGUGAGACAGUUCGGUCCCUAUCUGCCGUGGGCGCUGGAGAAUUGAGGGGGGCUGCUCCUAGUACGAGAGGACCGGAGUGGACGCAUCACUGGUGUUCGGGUUGUCAUGCCAAUGGCACUGCCCGGUAGCUAAAUGCGGAAAAGAUAAGUGCUGAAAGCAUCUAAGCACGAAACUUGCCCCGAGAUGAGUUCUCCCUGACCCUUUAAGGGUCCUGAAGGAACGUUGAAGACGACGACGUUGAUAGGUCGGGUGUGUAAGCGCAGCGAUGCGUUGAGCUAACCGAUACUAAUGAACCGUGAGGCUUAACCU
rnacentral:rRNA from 1 species